rnacentral:lncRNA from 1 species
AGAUGAGUAAGACAUCUUCCACAGAUUCUGAAAUUUGGAUUAGAAAAAUUGAAAUUGACAUAGCAAGAGACUCAAAAGCAUAGAAAAAAAUAGAUUGGAACAUUAUAUUUUCUUGUUAUGCUUGUAUCUGGGUAUGGUGUAAGCUCUUUUAAUAGGGUAAAUGGCAGAACAUAAAGUAGAACUUUACAAGAGAGACAAAUGCAGAAAGAUAAAAUUUUCCUCAUGCUAGAUCACUGAAAAAAAAUAUGAUUUGAAGAGAAAAGAAAAACUCUAUUUACUAUAUAAUUUGCAGCCACAUGGAUUUCUUACCACUGUUUUCUUAUAGAUCUCGCCGUCAAAUGAAAAUCUUUUAAUCCAUAACAGUCCAAGAAUGAUUUUAUCAGAAUUUAUCCUAUGUAUUCUCUUUUUUCGAUAAUUCAUUAGCUUAAAGAUCUGAGAUAAAUGACUAUUUUUAUAUUUUUAUAAAUGAUUAUUUUUUAUAAAAUGAGGUAAAAGACUAUUUGAAAGCACAAAUAAAUCCUCUCAUUAGAAGAUCA